GAUGAACGCUGGCGGCGUGCCUAAUACAUGCAAGUCGAGCGAACAGACGAGGCGCUUGCUCCUCUGACGUUAGCGGCGGACGGGUGAGUAACACGUGGAUCACCUACCUAUAAGACUGGGAUAACUUCGGGAAACCGGAGCUAAUACCGUAUAAUCUAUUGCACCGCAUGGUUCAAUAGUGAAAUACGGUUUUUCUGUCACUUAUAGAUGGAUCCGCGCCGCAUUAGCUAGUUGGUAAGGUAACGGCUUACCAAGGCAACGAUGCGUAGCCGACCUGAGAGGGGGAUAGGCGACACUGGAACUGAGACACGGUCCAGACUACUACGGGAGGCAGCAGUAGGGAAUCUUACGCAAUGGGCGAAAGCUUGACGGAGCAACGCCGAGUGAGUGAUGAAGGUCUUCGGAUCGUAAAACUCUGUUAUUAGGGAAGAACAAAUGUGGAAGUAACUAUGCACGUCUUGACGGUAACUAAUCAGAAAGCCACGGCUAACUACGUG
rnacentral:rRNA from 1 species